rnacentral:lncRNA from 1 species
CAAUAAAUAUAUAAGACCAAAAGCAAGAGGACAUUCAAACUAAUUAAUAUAUCCAAUUAAUUAGCCAAAGAAUUUGAUGUUUAAACAAUAGCCAACAAAAUCAAGUUUCUUGUGAAAAAGUGAAAUGAAUUAGAAAGAGAAAAAAAGAGUCCUUGCAAGUUGAGUAGAUGAGAAGUAGCUGCAAGGAUUGAUUCUCCUCUUCAAACUCUCUUCAUGCAUAUCUUUCCUUUUCACUUUAGCUCCAUUAUUGCUCAUAUAUACUCCCAACCAUAUUGACCCUACUUUAUUUUAACCACACCAAGAAAUGAAUAUGAAAAAGAAGGAACAAAAAAGAACAAUAGUAAAGUAAGAAAAGUUGUGAUGAAAAAAAAGAAGGUUCGUAACAUAAAAUUAAUUAGUCAUUUUUAUUGUUUACUCGAAAGUCAAUGACUAAUCCAUCAAAAUACAAAAAUUUAUUUAAGGGUUAAUUUUUCAAUAAAUAAUAUUUAUAUAUUAAUUGUGUGAUAUGUAUUGUAUUGGUUAAUUUGAUUAAUGAUGACUUUAAUGUUGAGUAUAUGGAUAGUAAGGGGAUCAUGUGUAUGUUUAUGCUUGCCCCUCUUUUAAGGGAAAAAUCGUUUGCAUCUUGACUUGUGGAAAUAUAAUUUCUUUAAUACUAUAUACUUUAUUUUAUCUUUUUCUCCAUUCAACAUAAAGCUAUAUUAUUAUUCUACAUGUGAUAUCCAUCCCUUUUAAUUCUCACAUUAUAAGAAUCUCUUACUUUCUCUCUCUUUAAGGCUUUUUAUUUUUUUAUGGGAAUCUCAUUUAUCACCUCCACAAUACAAGCAUAUAAAACCAAUCUUUGAACAUGUCAAGCCUCAAUCUCUCACUUUCUUUCUGUCAGAUAAGGGUGUGUGACAAAGAGAAAGAGAAAGAGAUAAAAAAGAAAACAAAGGUUGAUAAUUAACGAAAGAGGAUCUUGUGCAUGAAAGUGGAACUCAAAGAACACUUUCUUUUUCUUUUAUUAUUAGUUUAAUAUUUUCAAAGUCUUUUUAUUUUAUUUUAUAAUAUUUUUAUGACAAAAAACUUAAGGAAUGGUUUUUGGUGAAAUGGGUGUGUGUGUUGAGAUAUCAUUAUAUCUUAUAUUGGAAACAUGCCUUACUUGUGAUGAAGAUACUUGUAAAGAGGGUAGCUUUAUAUCUAUCUAUGGCCAACAAAUAUAUUUGACCGUUAGGUUGGAAGGGGUGAAUUUCAGAGAUAUAUCGCAUGUACUAAUCCGUGGGGUCUUUGUGGCCCCCCCUUUUCAAUAAAGUUAUGUACUCAAAUGCAUAUAUUAUUCCACUUCAAGGGAGGAGGAUGUAUUUUUAUUUAUUUAAAUCUUUUGGUACCUAUAACAAAAGGAUGGACAUAGUUAGUUAUAAGAUUAAAUAAAUAUAAAAUUUAAAUCAUUAAAUUAACAUAAAAAAUUACCUUAAAUAAUUGGUUGUUGUGUACUAUAUUGUACCAAGUUGUUGGAUAUCAAAGUAUUCAUAUUUUUUUUAAUAUUUAAAAUUGAAAAAAAUAUGUCUCCACCGGUGUUAUAUUGAGUUUAGACAAUUGAUUUGGGUGGCGGUUUCAUCGGCAUGUAUUAGGAUAACUAGAAAUAAU